UUAAAAUGCAACCUACUUUGGUUUAGUAUUAUUGGCAGGCUGAUGCACUCCUGUAAACAACUCUGGAUCAGUAUAUUAAAGUGAGUACAUGAUUGCAAAUUAGAGCAAUGUAGAUUAAGUGUACUUUCAAGGCUUAAAAUCAGUGGAUCUGUGGUGACCAGAAGAGAGUCGAUGCAGACAUUAAAACCAAUAAUCAAGUGCACGGCAUCAAGCCUCAUUUCAUUUAAUCCAUUAAGUGUCAUCGAUUCUCAAUGCACCUUCCCUUUUGUGCUCCUGCCUCUCUUCCACUUGCUCAAAACCUAAUCAUCUAAAUCUUUUCAACUGAUACAAAGUGGACCUGAAGCUUUAACUGAUACUGCCUGGCCUGGAACAAAAACAGAAUGCGCUGGAGAGACACAGCAGCAUCUGUGGAAACAAGAACAAAAAAAAAAGGAAGUUAACAUUUCCAGAUCCAACAAGGUCAUCUCGGAAUUGCUUCCUGAUCGGUUGCGAUGUCAGACAGGUACAUAGGUUUUUUUUUUAAAAUUUAAUUUUGCCUUAAAAGUAUUCGGACAAAGCUCUGGGUCAUACCAUUUAAUUCCUAAGUGCGAAGUUGUUUGAGAACCCACUUGUGAAAGGUGACUUACCACAAAAAAAAAGGUCGCUAUUUAAUACUUAAAGAGGCAGCCGAUUGUUGAGGAGAGUGGGGGGGUAAGGGGAAAGAAUUAAAGACCGAACCCCCGCUGGACCCUGGCCUUGGUCAAAGCGCCAAAAGGUGACCACGUUGGUAUAUAAAAAAAACAGGAGGGACAGUGUGUGAGGGGAUUGCCGGGGAGCCGUCCACCUCACACACCGAUUCCCGCGGGGAGCACGGUGUACUAAAAUAAAACACACACCUCCCAACAACCAAAAAAUAAAUAAAGGAUGAAAAGAUAGAAGCGGGUCCGCCAAAGAUCCCGGUUAACAGGCGAGACGAUUCAGGCCCGCAGUAACACCGGCGGUUUAAGGGAAGGAGGCGGCGAUGGCGGCGCCCGCUCGACAUCUCCCGCCCCCAUACCGACAGACGGAUGUUGGAGAAAGGGACAGGCUGAUGCUGCCAGGAGUGCGGGGUGCGGGGGGAAGCGGACGGUCUGUUGGCA